UAGGGAAUCUUCCACAAUGGGCGAAAGCCUGAUGGAGCAACGCCGCGUGUGAUGAAGGCUUUCGGGUCGUAAAGCACUGUUGUAUGGGAAGAACAGCUAGAAUAGGAAGUGAUUUUAGUUUGACGGUACCAUACCAGAAAGGGACGGCUAAAUACGUGCCAG
rnacentral:rRNA from 1 species